rnacentral:rRNA from 1 species
GAUGAACGCUGACAGAAUGCUUAACACAUGCAAGUCGAUGGGGAAGUGGUGCUUGCACCAUGGUAACCAUGGCGGACGGGUGAGUAACGCGUAAGGAACUUACCUGCGGGACCGGGAUAACAGCAGGAAACUGCUGACAAGACCGGAUAAGGUCAUUAAGCUGCAUAGCUUAGUGAUGAAAGGAGACGCCUGCGGAGAGCCUUGCGUCCUAUUAGCUAGUUGGAGGGGUAACGGCCCACCAAGGCGAAGAUAGGUAGCCGGCCUGAGAGGGUGGACGGCCACAAGGGGACUGAGAUACGGCCCUUACUCCUACGGGAGGCAGCAGUGGGGAAUAUCGGACAAUGGGGGCAACCCUGAUCCAGCAAUUCUGUGUGCACGAAGACGGUUUUCGGAUUGUAAAGUGCUUUCAGCAGGGAAGAAGGAAGUGACGGUACCUGCAGAAGAAGCGACGGCUAAAUACGUG